UACAUACUUAAAUCUGCAUAAAGCAGCAUAAUUGUCCACUAACAUGUUGAUAAGAGUAUUAAAUUCUUAACAAAUCUCCCUUUAAGGUACAUUUUGAGCAG